UCAUGGACAUGAGCCAACAAUGUGUACUUAUAGCCCAAAGAGACAAUUCCAUCCUGGGUUGCACCACAACAAACGUAGCCAGCAGGUUGAGAGAGGUGAUUCUUCCCCUCUCCUCUGCUCUUGUGAGACUCCACCUGGAGUGUUGCAUCCAGCUCUGGGAUCCCAACGUAGGAAGAUCAUGAACCUGUUGCACAGGACAUCACCACAGAAACCUCUCAGAAAUUUCUGUUUGAACUGCGGUAUAUGUUUCAGAGGGACACUCAGUCCUAAAAUAAAGGGUCCACAUGGUGGAGAAUCAAUCACACUCCUAGAUUAAAGAACUGGAUACGAGAAAUCUGUUCCUCAGCCCUCUCUUCUCAUUGCUGCUGCUCCUGCUGAGGAAGGUGUCAGCUGCUUCACUGAGACAGAAGGAGUUUUUACCCCCUCUCUUCACCCACCUAGUAUUUUACUCACAGCUCUUCAUUUUAAUUAGGUUGUCUUACCAUCAUACAGUUUUGCCUACAUGUCUGGGAAGCUUUGAACCAGAGCUAAUAAAAUAAAAUAAU